rnacentral:rRNA from 1 species
GACAGAGGAUGCAAGCGUUGUCCGGAAUUAUUGGGCGUAAAGAGCUCGUAGGCGGUUUGUCGCGUCUGCUGUGAAAACCCGAGGCUCAACCUCGGGCCUGCAGUGGGUACGGGCAGACUAGAGUGCGGUAGGGGAGAUUGGAAUUCCUGGUGUAGCGGUGAAAUGCGCAGAUAUCAGGAGGAACACCGAUGGCGAAGGCAGGUCUCUGGGCAUUAACUGACGCUGAGGAGCGAAAGCAUGGGGAGCGAACAGG